rnacentral:rRNA from 1 species
ACGGGCAGACUAGAGUGUGGUAGGGGAGAUUGGAAUUCCUGGUGUAGCGGUGGAAUGCGCAGAUAUCAGGAGGAACACCGAUGGCGAAGGCAGAUCUCUGGGCCAUUACUGACGCUGAGGAGCGAAAGCAUGGGGAGCGAACAGGAUUAGAUACCCUGGUAGUCCAUGCCGUAAACGUUGGGCGCUAGAUGUGGGGACCAUUCCACGGUUUCCGUGUCGUAGCUAACGCAUUAAGCGCCCCGCCUGGGGAGUACGGCCGCAAGGCUAAAACUCAAAGGAAUUGACGGGGGCCCGCACAAGCGGCGGAGCAUGCGGAUUAAUUCGAUGCAACGCGAAGAACCUUACCAAGGCUUGACAUAUACCGGAAACGUUCAGAAAUGUUCGCCCCGCAAGGUCGGUAUACAGGUGGUGCAUGGUUGUCGUCAGCUCGUGUCGUGAGAUGUUGGGUUAAGUCCCGCAACGAGCGCAACCCUCGUCGUAUGUUGCCAGCACGUAAUGGUGGGAACUCAUAUGAGACUGCCGGGGUCAACUCGGAGGAAGGUGGGGGAUGACGUCAAAUCAUCAUGCCCCUUAUGUCUUGGGCUUCACGCAUGCUACAAUGG